rnacentral:lncRNA from 1 species
UCCCCUCAUCAACGUAACUUUUCUCUACCUCUCCCUUUUUUUUGUUUUGGAAAUAAAUAAUUAUACAAGUUAUAGUUGAGAUAGUUAUAAAUAUCUGAAGUUCAAAUUUAACUAUCAUUCACAAUAAUAAUAAUAAAGAAAAUAAAUUUUACGUGUUUGGCCAGUAAAAGAAAUGACGUAAGUCCCUCUUUUUUGUUUUAGAAAUAAAUGAUUAUACAAGUUGUAGUUGAGAUAGUUAUAAAGAUCUGAAGUUCAAAUCUAAUUGUCAUUUAUAAUAAUAAUAACAAAGAAAAUAUUUUUUUACUGUUUGAAUAGUAAAAGAAAUGAUGAAAGUGUGUAAAGGCAAACUACGUUUAUAUUGAAUAACUAAAUAAAUAAAUAAAGUACAUCAUUUCAAAGAAAUUUAAAUUAUCAAAUUGACAAGUAGUUUAAAGUGAAUUCAAUUUUGAAGAACUGUUUUAAAAUCACGUAAAGAUACUAAUUUAAUUAUUUGACGAUGGAUGGGACAUACUUCUCAUAUUGUCAAAGGAACUCAAUAAAUAAGCUCUUGUAAAAUAAGUAACAAGAUAUUAUACAUAAUGCAAUAUUAUGCCCCACCUAAUUUUAAUAUGCUUUAUAUUUACUAGUCACUAUCUUCAGGGACCCAAUAUUAAUUAAAAUUACUAUGUAACAAAAAUAUCACAGUAGGUUUUCAAAAUACCUUUUAUCUGCAUUUCUUUUUUUCAAAAAAAUAAAAAUUGUUGAAAAAAACUGUAGAUUAAAGUAGAGGGAAAAUUAUCUGAAUUAUCAUGUCAAUCAACUUCAGUUUUAGGUUCAUGCAUUUAUUUAUUUCUCCAUUACUAUAAUUGCAUUCGAAACUUGUGGGACAUUAGCAAAAUCCUAAUUAAGUCUAUUAGGAAAUAUAUUUCUAUCUCCUACGAAAUGUAUAUUUUCUUUUCUUGGUACAUAUAACUCAAUUGGUUGGCUAGAGUUUGAUUUUCGAUUUUAUAAUUCCCUUUUGAUUUUUAUUUCCAUGGCUCCUAAUUUUAUUUUUUAUUUUUUAUUUUUAUGAUAAAAAAAUAUUAUGUGACGAGGUGGCAGUUCCUGAUUAAAUGGACGGUGCCUAUUAAUAAGGUGGAUUUUCUUCCUCAGACAAAUAAUAAAUGAAACUUCCUACUUUACUUCUUUCGUAUUUUUCCUUCUAUCGUCAUCAAUCAUACCCGUAACUUGACCAAAACUAAAAGGGAGCAGUAUGAGGAUGACUGAUAUAUUUGACGAGCGUCGGUGAAGAAAGUAACUAAAACUGGAGCUUAAAAUAGUUAAUAUAAUAAAUGUUUUUCUCAUAUAUAUGCACCUUUUUUCAAAUAAUACUUACACUUAAUAUUUACGUCAAAUAAAGCAAUACAUAACAAUUGCAAAUUAAAGUAAACCUACAUAUUAUUGAGGAAUUUUCAUAAAUGAUUUACAGUUUGGGAUUUAUUAACAUCGUUAAUUAAGUGACUAAAGUUUAAGAAGACACGCAUUAUGUAUAUCUUUAUUUGCUUCGUGCAGAUAUCGAAUGUGCAUGAUUUUUUUCCCCCCUUAUAAUUCAUGUGUUGAAUUCAAAUCCAUUCAUGAUCCAACUCAGCACAAACCCUAUUUUAAUUAAUUUUAUGUGUGAAAAUUACAUAAGACAUAAAUUUGAUCCAAUAGAUAAAAUAAAAGUAUUUUAGGUCAUUCCUAAUACAUAAAAAAUAUUUUUAUCCAACAAGUAAAAGAAGAAAUAAAAUUAAAACAAUAAAUAGAUAAAGAAUAUUAUAAAACCAUUUAUAAUAUAUUACAAAUAUUUUUGACCUCUUUUCCGUAUAAGAUUUAUCGAUUAGGUGGAGUCUGCUCUAUUUUAACCUUUGACAUAGAGUCAUAGACGUAGAGUACGUAAUCAGUACUGGCAAGGGAUAAUUAAUCUUGAGCAUAAAUUUGGUAAACUAUAUCUUGAUUAGAGACUCUAUACCUACUAAUAAUUCAGAAAAUCAAACAUAUGAUAAUUAAUAAGAUUCCUUGAGGAAUUGAUUAUAUAUUGACUGGUUCAUAGUCUAAAUCAACACCUAAUUAAUAAUCCCUAUUUAACUUAUAAUAGAUGUGCACUUUUAAUUUCUAUCUCAUCACUUAUGUGAUGUUAGAUAGUCAUAAAAUAACAUUAUAGGGAGAGAUUCUAUAUUCUUAUAUAUAAAAACAAAAAUUAUACUAAUAUCAAGUAAUUUAAAUAUACAUGAUAUAUAUUUGUGUGACUAUAUAAUUUUGAGAACUUGUAAUUAUAAAUAUCUUUUAACUUAAUAUAUAUUGUGUGGCUAUAAAAAUAUAUAUCUCAUUAAGAAAAGGUAAAAAUUGUUAUUUUCUUUGAAAUAGACUAAUGAAAAAAAAAAAAAAAAACUCCAGUGUUAGAUAAAGAAAGAAAAUAUUUGUUAAUCAAUUCUCAACUGGACCCAAAGAAAAUUCUUGCCGCCUUAAAAAUAGAAUAAAGAACAAAGUAAUUAAGCACUUAAUCUUUGUAGGACCAAAAAGGUCACUUUCACUCUUUAGAGGGCUAAGUUGUAUAUUUUAUGUUAUUUCCCUUCCCUUUUUGACAAUCCCACACUUGGUGUAGGGCACAUGAAUAAUUAUUCAAAAUUUAAUGAAGGGAUAAUUUAGCAAUUAGAUUUUAAUUUAACUAUAGGUAAAUUAAUUAAAGGCUGACGAACCACGAUUAAUUACAUUCCCUAAAUAAAACAAUUAACAUGCUUUUACAUUUUUAAAAAAAUUAUAAUAAAAUAAUGAUAUUUCAUAUUCACUUAUAAUUCAAAAAUAUGAAUCUGCUUCCUACUAAACCCUCCAUGGAAGUUUAGGAUAAGGCAAUCGUCACUCCAUUCCAAUCCCAAAUUGAGGAGAUUUGGUGAUUGAAGAAAAGUAGCAAUCUUAGCAAAAAGGUAAAUUGGUCGGCUAAGAGGGUGUACCCCAUUUAUCGGGUUCACAAUUCUAGUUGUGUUUGUGAAUAGCAGGGACAGAGCUAGAAGUUCAGAUUCAACUCAAUAAUUUUUGCUCUAAAAUUUCAAACCUCUCAUAGGCGAGGUAGAUUUAAUGUUACGUCUCCCUCUAGGUGGGGCUCACGACCAAAGGAUAUAUGUAUGGAUGGAGCUAUAGUGUGGUUCAACUGAAUUCAGUAGCUAGCUUUGAUUCAAACUUUAUAUUUAUCUUAAAAUAUCUAUUAAAUAUGUACAAAAUUUCAAUUUAAAACCUAAUAACUGGUAAAAUUGAAACUUCGAACUCAUAAAUUUUAGAUUCUGACUUCAUCUCCCGACACUAAUAUUGGAAUGGUUGGUGGAUAGUGGAUACAUUGAGAGAAUGUAGCCAACAGCGCAGCCAUAGGGCCGGGCUUAGAAAUCACGCUACAAAAGUUCCGCUACUAACGGUACUUAAAUAGACCGUUAUAAAGUGUGUCUGUGUGUGGCUGUCACUAUUUUUUCCUAUUUAUUCAAAAUGUUGUUGACACCUCAAAGAAUAAUACCCUCAACUAAAUUUACCUGACUUUUGCAGCAACUUUAUAUUUCUACUAGAAAGAUUUUCUGCCACAUCUGAGUUACACUUGCAUACAAUUCACUGCUACACCACACAACAUUCGUGGAAUAAAUUACUUUUCUUUUUAUUUUCUGAAUUAUCAAGACUAAUUCAAAGUCGCGUAUCAUAGUAUUCAUUUAACAAAAAUGAAAAAAAUUGAUAGAAAUUAUUUGAAGUUGAGCAAAUCAAAACUCAAAUUGCAGGAGUCCAAGUAUAAUAGCAUAGUGACAAUUGGUCAGCUAACUCUUUGUUAGUAAAUUAAUUAUUAUUUGUUUGGAAAAAAAUCUAAUAUAUACGACUUGUAGCCUUAUGAGCUUUAUUUGAACUUGACGAAAGAAAAUCUCAUCUAGGAGAAAAAUAAUUGAAAAGAAAGAUGAAAUUAGUCCAACAUUUGGGGUGCAAUAAUUUGGUUCCUUUAAAAAUCCAUUUAUGUUGGAGUGUUUUAAAAAUGUGGCUGGCUUAUUUAUUGUUUUCACACGAAACAAUUCUAAAGUUGAUUUUUGACCUUGAAAAGACUCAAGUACACCAAUUUUUCUAUUUUCUUUCUCACUAAAAAAUCAAUAAUUGAGGUUUAAGAAAAGGCCGACCUAAUAGGUGUGCAAUUUACUCUAAUACAUGCAUUAAUAGUUAUUUUCACAGUUCAAACUCGUCACCUACCUCACACGAAAAUAAUUUUUUUUGUUACUCAAAGUCUCUUUUAUAGUAAUUUGAUAUUCUUUUGAUUAAUUAGUAAUAGUUCAAUUUUCAAACAUCAUUAUCAGUUUGAACUCAACCUAAAGAUAUCUGAAAACUCAUUUUCUUUACAAAAAUUGACUGUUUUGUUUACCAAAAAGAUUUAAACAAUAAUUUUCUGGGACAUUAAUAUCAUUAAGUAACAGAACGAUUACUAAGUACCUGUAAAUCAGCCAACACGUGGGCCAGCCCUCAUCCUUCACAAGUGGCAACUCUUGUACCAGCUCAGCACAGAAUCAACGGUCCAGAUUGCAUCACAGACUACAAACCGCGUCCCUUACCCCGGAUCCCUCCCACACUAUUUAUACUCCUCAAUCCCCAACGCACUUUUCCAUAACCAAUCCACUUCACCUGCUUCUUCACUCACCGGAAAACUCACCGGAAAAGCAAAAAAUUAAGAUAAGGUUAUCGAAGAAAAUGGCGAACAGUUUAAUUCUAUCGAUUAAGGUUGCGCUAAUAUCAAUUGGUGCAAUUUCCUUAGCGAUGGUAGCAAAAGCGUCGAUUCCAUUAAUUUAUUAUGAGCUCCCAGCAAUUUGGAGUGUAGUUAUAGCUUGGCUUAAGCCUCCGUAUCUCUACUUUGUUAUCAAUGGUAUAAUCCUCAUCAUCGUCGCCACUUCUCGCUCGUCGAACCAUAAGGAGUCCAGCUCCGACGAUCAAUUUCAGCCGUUGAUUACCGCUAGAACACCUCCGCAGUCAGAUUUGAUAGCGAUUACUCAAUCGGAGCUUCAUUCAGUCCAAAGUGAAGUGAAGGUGUUUGAGGCCGUGCCUGUACCGGUGGACGAACCGCAGGUGUUUGAGGUUAAGCCAGUACUGGUGAACGGCUCCGUCGUGGUUAUGAAUCAUGAAGAUGAAGACGUGAUCGAUGAGCCUGAUGCAAGCGAAGCGAUAGUGAUUUCGAAAUCUGUUGUCUCUCCGUUGCCGGAAAUUGAAACUAAAAAUGAGUUUCUUCUAGUACCGGCGACGGAAAAACCUCUGGUUUCUUCCAGAUUCGGUAACCGAAAACCUGCUGUGAAAAUGAGUCCGGAAGGUACGUGAAAAGUACACACAUUGUUACUACUUUCUCCGUCUCAAUUUAUUUUGCACAGUUAAAAUUCAGUUCGAAACGGAGGCAUUCAUCACGCAUUUCAUCUUAUUUCAAUCGGUAAAAUUUUUGAAGCUAAAUAUGUUACAAUAAUGGAUAAUUUCAGGAGUGAAGUCACUGAAAGUGUCGCGGUCGAAAAAGCCAGAGACAUUAGAGAACACAUGGAAAAUGAUAACAGAGGGCCGUCACGUGCCACUCACGAGGCAUAUGAAGAAAUCAGACACCUUUCACAUUCACGUGGCUGCCGUGGACGACGACGCUCCGGAGGAAAACGAGAAUUCCACCACCUUUCCACCGCAGCACCACCACCAGAGGCACGUGCUUAAGUCGGAGACUUUCAAGGACCGAACAAACUAUGUCUCGCCGUCGUAUUCACCGUCGCCGGCGGCUGUGAAGAUCCGGAAGGAUCCGUCGCUGAGCUCCGACGAGUUGAAUCGGAAAGUGGAGGCGUUUAUUAAAAAGUUCAAUGAAGAUAUGAGAUUACAGAGGCAACAGUCUAUGCAGCAGUACAUGGAGAUGAUUAACCGUGGAGUCUAAAUUACUUAGUUAUACUAAUUUUACUUUUUAAAAAAAGAAUUUUUUUCCUUUUUAAAAAAAAAAGGUUGGCUGGAAAAAAAGAAAAUGAAUUUGCAAUUUGUAUUUAGCUUUUAGGCUUUUGAGUGACUUGUUUUUUUUGUUUGAUUUUUAUAGUAAAAAUAGGAAGUAUAGGAAAGGUUUUAUUGUAUAGAAAGUAUAGGAAAGCUUUAAAAACAGUGAAUUGUUCUUUUAUUUCUUAUAGUUUAUUAAAUGAAUAAAAAAAUGAAAAUAUAGCAGUUACAGUUGUUAUGAAUGGUGUAUUUAUUAGUAUAUAGAAGAUAUUUUUAAACUUCAUGAUUUGAUUACUGGUAUAAAAUAACACCACGAAAAUGAAAGCUCCAUAUGAAGGCCAUAAUGGUAUACAAUUUAAUUUUAUGACAAUAAGUAGGGUAUUUUUUUAAUCAAAUUACCAAUUUACUUUUUACCAAAAAAAUAUAUUUGUAUAAGUAAUUUUAUACCAUCAAUACAUGAAAAUGAAGCUAAUAGAUCUUGGAUUUAAGUCUCUUCGGGUACAGAGUCACCUUUGUUAGAGAGGACUUUAUCCUCCAAUGAGACUUUUCGACAAAUUUAAUUUAGUCAGGCUUCAAUAUGGGUACUAGACAUCGGUAAUGCAUCUUCAAUUUUUUCUUUCUUUAUUUGGUUUUUUAUUUUUCAGAGGGAUAUGGGGUCACAUAUAUUUCAGUGACAAGAGAAGGGGGACCAAAACGGAUGACAACUUACAACUAACAUAUUUGUUUGGGAGUUCACAAAAUGGAAUUGUCGGUGGAUUUGGAUUAACCUUAGAUUUUCCAACUUGCAUAUUCUCUAAAAUCCUUUGAGUCAAAUUUUCCGGCACAGCUAAAAAGAAUAUGGAUAUAAAGCCAAUCUCACGUUACAUCACACACAUAUAUAUAUGUAAGAAAAUAGAAUUUCAUGUUCUUUUCUAUAUCUAUAAAAUAGAAAGAAAGAAUUUGAUGUGUUUAUCCUCACUUGUCAUAAUUAUAUUUUGAGGUAAAAUCACAUGAUUAGACACACAAGUUGUAAGCUCAAUUGGUUUACCUACUAAUUUUGUGCUUGUAGUGUAUUAUAGGGAUCGAACAUGCAACUAUGAUGAAGACGGUGAUGGCAACUGACUGGAGUACUUUUAUUUUUGAAAUAUUAUAUUGAUGAAGACGGUCUCAUAUGGUUCGAGAAGAGAAUUCUAGCUUCUCAUAAGGCUUGGACAAUACUUCUCCGCCUUCUUUUGGUCUUUUUCUAUCUCCGUGGUUCUAAUCAAGUCCUACAAGCUUUGAAUCCCAAAUGAGGUCUAACAAGCCUACAGCACAAUACUCUUCUUUCUGUGGCAAGGUCAACCAAAAGAAUUUGUGGCUAGUUAGCACUAGCCACAAAUUCCAAGAUUCAAAUCCCCUUACUCUCCCAGAACUUGUGAGAGUCUCAGACACACCAAAACAUAAAAAAGAAACAAGCAUUUUACACAAAAAGAUUGAACUCCAAAACCUUUCCAGCCAUUUAUAAUAAAUAUAUGCAAGGCACCUCGCGGCCAUUGCAAAAUGUAACCUGUGCAUAGCGGAAAGAUUACAUCAGUUGCUACUUGCUACGUUUUUCUAUGUACAAUGCAUGACGCCAGCAAAGCCAACAUAUACAAAUUCCCUAACACUGCGGAGUACCUCUGGUUUUUUAUAUAGCACAGCUAAUUUAGGUGCCUCAUGUAGGAACAUCUUACUGGUCAUUAGGUGCCAAAGAUGCAGCAGUGCUUAUGGGUAAAGGCCUAUUAUGAUCUACAUCAGUUUGUUGACUACCACUAACAAUAACACAAUUACUCGGAUUUGUCUCCCCAGCGCCAUCUCCAUUUAUUUGGUUACCCACGGAACUUCCAUUCUCACAGUGCCUGACAUAUUGCUCUGCAGCACGUUUGAUUAUGCGUAUCAUGCUACCAGAAUCAGAGCCUGGUGAAAGCUCAUCGUCCCUCUCUGGCUUAGCAUUCAGGUCAAAUUCACCUUUAAAUGGUGAAGCAGAAGAUUUCUUCUCAGUAAGGUAAUUGGGAUCAUCAACAGAAGAUUUCCUCUCAUCCACGUAGUUGGGAUCAUCAACAGAAGAUUUCUUCUCAGUCAGGCAGUUGGGAUCAUCAACAGAAGAUUUCUUCUCAUUCAGGCAGUUGGGAUCAUCAACAGAAGACUCCUUCUCAUUCAGGGAGUUGGGAUCAUCAACGGAAGAUUUCUUCUCAUUAAGGUAAUUGGGAUCAUCAACUGAAGAUUUCUUCUCAUUAAGGUAACUGGGAUCAUCAACGGAAGAUUUCUUCUCAUUAAGGUAAUUGGGAUCAUCAACUGAAGAUUUCUUCUCAUUAAGGUAACUGGGAUCAUCAACGGAAGAUUUCUUCUCAUUAAGGUAAUUGGGAUCAUCAACUGAAGAUUUCUUCUCAUUAAGGUAACUGGGAUCAUCAACGGAAGAUUUCUUCUCAUUAAGGUAAUUGGGAUCAACUGAACCUUCAUUGUUCAGCUCUCCAUGCUGAGGGCUUAAAUGCGCUGCAUCAUCAAUAGAUUCUUGAAUGUCAACAGCAUCAAGCAAUUGCCCAGCUGAUUGCGGCUGCAGCUUUUGACAAGUAGCUUCUGC